GAUGAAGAACGUAGCGAAAUGCUAUAAGUAAUGUGAAUUGCAGAAUUCAGUGAAUCAUCGAAUCUUUGAACGCACCUUGCGCCCUUUGGCCAUUCCGAAGGGCAUGCCUGUUUGAGUAUCAUGAACACCUCAACUCUCAUGGCUCGCCAUGAUGAGCUUGGAUUUUGGGGGUCUUGCUGGCCUGUGGUCGGCUCCUCUCAAAUGGAUCAGCUUGCCAGUGUUUGGUGGCAUCACAGGUGUGAUAACUAUCUGCGCUUGUGGUUUUCCAUCAGAUAACCUUCAGUGAUGGAGGUUCGCUGGAGCUCAUAAACGUCUCCCCUAAGCGGGGACAGCCCUUUGAAUGUUUGAUCUCAAAUCAGGUAGGACUACCCGCUGAACUUAAGCAUAUCAAUAAGCGGAGGA
rnacentral:misc_RNA from 1 species